UACGGAGGGUGCAAGCGUUAUCCGGAUUCACUGGGUUUAAAGGGUGCGUAGGCGGCCUUCUAAGUCAGACGUGAAAUCCCCAGGCUUAACUUGGGAACUGCGUCUGAUACUGGAGGGCUCGAGUGCGGGAGAGGGAUGUGGAAUUCCAGGUGUAGCGGUGAAAUGCGUAGAUAUCUGGAGGAACACCGGUGGCGAAGGCGGCAUCCUGGACCGACACUGACGCUGAGGCGCGAAAGCUAGGGGAGCAAACGGG
rnacentral:rRNA from 1 species